GUGCUUUAACUGGCGUCCGCCCGCAGGGCCACGGAGUUCCAGAACCCUGGCCAACGGCCCGGAGACGCAUUCCCGGGUGGAACGGACGCCAUGGUCUUACCUGUGAGCAUGGUUUUCGUCUACAUCCUGUGAACGCCCAAGGGCGACUGCCAAUAUCAACGUUGGGUCCCACAGAGUCUCCAUCUUCAGCUUUUAAAGCCUUCGGAACGUGCCUCCGACAUCAUAGCCACGACUAAAAGAAGAAUCCGGAAGAAUGUCGUCCAAUCCUUCCGAGCAUCCGAGGCUGAACCAAAGCGAAGACGUCAUCAUGGACUGCUUGGAUGCUUCGGGCAGCAGCCCCGUUGUUACUGAUGGCUGCCAGACACACAACCGUCAGUGCCCUGCGAAGGAAGAAACUAAAGUCGUUGACGCAUCGG
rnacentral:lncRNA from 1 species